UGAAAAUCCACAGGAUGCAGCGCAGUUUACGUUACGCAGCCCUCGCUUUCUUCUACAAAGUUUACUCAACACUGAAAAAGUACAACAUGGCUACUAAGAGUGUAAACGCUAAAUCAAACUUCAAGUAUACACAUUUGGAGGAGAUUAUUGCAGAAAUUGACCGGGAGAGUGACACGAGGAGUCCUGCGCGCAAGUAAGAUUGGAAGGAAAAGUGGAUGACCUGUGGGAGCCAACUUCAGACACCACAUUCAAGUCCUCUAUCCCCCACUCAUUCAAAUGUCGGAAUUGGUUCCUCCAGUCUGACCCCUCUGCUGUCUGUCUCCCCCCCGCCUGACCAUAUAGAGUGAAGGUUAGUACCUUUUUAUGUAGGGAAGCUAAUGAUCCAUCAUGUAUGACAUUCCUGGGGGUGUGUAAAUUGUACUUUUUUUAUUACCAUAGCAUUUUUGUAUGUUCUCUGUAGUUAUGUACUUGGAAAUGUAUCAAUUGACCAAUUCGGCGACUUGGGUAUAUUUGGGCAAACUCGUGAGGGACAGCUGGGAGACUUGAUACAAAAUAUUAUGUAGAUAUCUCAUUCUUGAAUGUAUCAGUCUGAAACUUUGCACAUGACUGGACAACACCUAAAUUACACCCCCAAUCUUUUGCAUUUCAAAGAUGAUGCAACAAAAAUAGAAAAUGCAUGUUUUAUCUUUUACCUGAUCUAAUGUGUUAUAUUCUCCUACAUUCAUUUCACAUUUCCACAAACUUUAAAGUGUUUCCAUUGAAAUAGUAUCAUGAAUAUGCAUAUCCUUGCUUCAGGUCCUGAGCUACAGGCAGUUAGAUUUGGGUAUGUCAUUUUAGGUGGAAAUUGAGAUGUAGGGUACAAAUGCUCACACCACAUCAGGAGACCACUUUUGAGGCUUGGGAAAAAUCCACAAAAUUUAGAUUUUUGAGUCUGGUUACCCUUUAAUUCAACUGCAGUUGGCACCUAAUAUUCUUGUUUGGUUAGUGGUGUUUCUGUAGUGCACAUGAGAUGGAGUUUGCAAAACAAAUGGCCACUGGAUUGAUGCAAAUAAUCAUGAUAUAUUUCUGUCAGACUACUUUGUAGCUCUAACAUUUAAUUGAGAAGGUUUUUGAGAAAGCCUUUCCAUCUACCAGAAGACAGUUAGGCCUAUCAUUAGCAUCACUAUAUUUUUCCUGUUCCUUCAUUGUUUGAAACCUCUGUUUUACUUCAUAUUAUGAGGCAUGUCCUACCUUUCUUCAAAGUAGCCGGUAGCCAAAAUACCACCAUAGAAACGUGGAGACAUUAUUUUAUAAAGACUUAUGCGCUCUCCUGUUCAACUUUCUAUCAUUGUCUAUCAGGCAAAGGAAUCAUUUUAUUCAUAUUAGCAGACCAUAAUAGUUGUUGCAUCUUUCGAUCUCUCCUCUUUCUACAUUUCUAACCGAUAUUUCCAUCUCGUUCCAUGAAAUUGCUUGCAUGUGCGGUGUGUUUUCCCCAAAUUGCAUUUUGGAACAUUUGUGUGUAGGCCUACUAAUGUGUGCACAUUGCUGGCUUAGAAUUUCAAGAAAUAAUAAUUUAUCAACAUUUUAAGCUAAACAUUCUGAUCUGUUCCAUCAGCCUUAUUAAUUGAUACGGUAUAUACCUCCACCACACUACUUUGAUACGCAUCCUGGGGAUUAAGGGAGUAUACACAAUGCCCUAAAUGUGGGUAUAUAGCAAAUACCUGCGUAUACCCUCCACUACACCACUGCAACGGUGGGUGGAUCAUUAUUGCUAAUACUGUCUAAACCCAAGUUCUCACUUACGCUUUGGAGAAGGCUACAGUGUUUCAGAGCCAGAUCCUCCAGACUGGGGUCUAUCUGUUUCCCCUCAAACAACACCUGCUGGAUGAAUGCUGCUACUACAAGCAUCCCACGCCAAAUAGACCUGAAGGACAGAAGAAGUUGAAGAAGGCUUUGGAAGUGCAUUCUCAUGAGCCAACUGAAGGGGAGGCACAGGGGUGUUCCUCACCACCCAACAGGUCAAGCCACAGAGCAGCAGACUGAGGCAUCUCCUCCACAAAAUAAUUUGGCCAUGAAGGAGCUUUUCGGGGAGACCUUUGCGAGCAAGGACACAGGCAAGACGUUUGCCAACAGUAUCAAAGAGGAGGUGGCAUCCUACAAGGCAGCAAACGGCAUUCCAGUGGAUGGUGAUCCACUGGCAUGGUGGAAAAGCAAAUACCCUCACAUUGCCAUGAUGGCAAGACGCAACCUGGCUGUGCCUGGCACUUCCGUUCCUAGCGAGAGGGUGUUCUCCACGGCAGGGGACAUAGUGACUGCAAAGAGGCCUACCCCCCAGACAAUGUAGACAUCCUCAUCUCUUUUGAAAAAUUAUUUGAAUUUAUAAGCUCAGGUCUGCUUUGUUUUCUUUCUUUUUUGACUUUUUUUUAAUGAUGUGGACACAGGCUAUUUUUUCAUUCACUAUUGUUCAAAGGAAGAAGGUAUCAUGCCUCAUAUUGCACUUUAAUUUAACAAUUGAGUAUUGAAUAUUUUAUUUUAAGAUUUUAUUUCAACCUUGAAAAGUUCCUUGCUUUAAGUGUUCUUUAAGUAAUAAAUGGAAAGCAAAGUUAUACUUGUCUCCCUUUUUUUCUGAUCUGAAAAAUGAUCCGAUCCGUUAUACCAGUCAGAAGUUUUUCUUUAUUUUUUACUAUUUUCUACAUUGUAGAAUAAUAGUGAAGACAUCAAAACAAAGGAUGGCUACUUUGAAGAAUCUCAAAUAUAAAAUAUACUGCU